rnacentral:rRNA from 1 species
GACGUAGGGCGCGAGCGUUGUCCGGAUUUAUUGGGCGUAAAGAGCUCGUAGGCGGCUUGUCGCGUCGUCCGUGAAAACCUGCAGCUCAACUGCAGGCUUGCGGUCGAUACGGGCAGGCUCGAGUUCGGUAGGGGAGACUGGAAUUCCUGGUGUAGCGGUGAAAUGCGCAGAUAUCAGGAGGAACACCGGUGGCGAAGCGGGUCUCUGGGCCGAUACUGACGUGAGGAGCGAAAGCGUGGGGAGCGAACAGGAUU